GACCGGCGCACGGGUGCGUAACGUCGUAUAGAACCUACCUUAUAUUGGGGGAUAGCCCAGAGAAAUUUGGAUUAAUACGCCCAUAGAUAUGCUGAAGUGGCAUCACUUUAGUAUUAAAGAUUUAUCGAUAUAAGAUGGCUAUGCGUUGCUAUUAGCUAGUUGGUAUGGUAACGGCAUACCAAGGCUACGAUAGAUAGGGGUCCUGAGAGGGAGAUCCCCCACACUGGUACUGAGACACGGACCAGACUCCUACGGGAGGCAGCAGUGAGGAAUAUUGGACAAUGGAGGCAACUCUGAUCCAGCCAUGCCGCGUGCAGGAAGACUGCCCUAUGGGUUGUAAACUGCUUUUAUAGAGGAAGAAACCCCCCGACGUGUCGGGGUCUGACGGUACUCUACGAAUAAGGAUCGGCUAACUCCGUGCCAGCAGCCGCGGUAAUACGGAGGAUCCAAGCGUUAUCCGGAAUCAUUGGGUUUAAAGGGUCCGUAGGCGGAUUUGUAAGUCAGUGGUGAAAGUUUGCGGCUCAACCGUAAAAUUGCCAUUGAUACUGCAAGUCUUGAAUCAUUGUGAAGUGGUUAGAAUAUGUAGUGUAGCGGUGAAAUGCAUAGAUAUUACAUAGAAUACCGAUUGCGAAGGCAGAUCACUAACAAUGUAUUGACGCUAAGGGACGAAAGCGUGGGUAGCGAA
rnacentral:rRNA from 1 species